GUAGUUGUGGCUAAGUGGUUAAAGUGAUAGACUAGAAAUCCAUUGGGGUUUCCCCAUGCAGAUUUAAUCCUGCUGACUAUA
rnacentral:tRNA from 1 species